ensembl:lncRNA
CAGAGCUUGAAGAAUAAUAAUGUGCCAAUAUUGUACAAUCCAGGUGUACAAAGCUCUUAGAAACAUACUCAAAGACUCAGCUGUAAAUCACUGCCAAAGCAUCCCUUGGCAAGACGGAGCUGCUCUUCUUCCUUUGGAAAGACUGCCACUCCAAGACUUCUCAAUCACGGCGGACAACUACACGGUGUACCCAUACCAGAUUGCAAAGAACCUUAGUGUGACCCUGGACACCACCCUGUAAUUCUCUGCAAACAUCAGUGACUAGCUCCUGCAGGCUAAUGCUCUUCAACAUCCGUAGAGUAUGACCUUAUCUUACACAGGAAGCGGCGCAGGUCCUUUUCAUAAACUUGUCAUCUCCCAUCUGGACUAAUGCAACUCACUGUUGACUGGGAUCUCUGAUUGUGCUAUCAAACUGCUGCAACUUAUCCAGAACGCUGCAGCCCGCCUGGUGUUCAACCUUCCCAUGUUCUCCUACAGUAUGUCACCCUGCUCCUCCGCACACUCCACUGGCUUCUAGUCGAAACUCUCAUCCACUAUGGAGCAGCAAGAGGAACUAACCCUUCCUACCUUCAAGCUAUGCUCAAACCCUACCCAAGUACUCCGUUCUGCCACCUCUGGUCUUUUGGCCCUCCUACUUCAGGGCAGCUCCCGCUCAGCCCAAUCAAAGCUCUUCUCUGUCCUGUGGGCGUGGAAGGAGAGGGGACGGGAGUUCUAGAUGGGCGGGAUGGUGGAGACCUGCGCUAUCCACACAAGCAGGGACAAGAGGCAGCUCCAGCGUGCAGAGUGGGAGUGGUGAAAUCGGCCUGGAGGACGAUGUGACCACAAAAUGCACCCUGUGUCCCCAACCAUCAAGGUGGAAGACUCCAGAGAUUCAAGAGCAGCGUCUUGAAAAAGCUUGCCACCCGAAGCUUCAAUGUAUAAUUUGAAGUAGAACUUGCGUCUGUAGGACAGUAAGUUAUCCCUAAUUCUUGCAAACACAACAUGCCAAACAAAACAGGAUGUUAGGUUGGUCAGGUUGAAAUACUGGUGGCAGCUGUGAUUAAGGAGGAUGAGGACAGGUAUUGAGGCUGAUUGGCAGUGAGUUACAGCUGGUGGUAGUUGAGUUGUUAAACAGGGGGCAAGUUCGUUUUGCAUCGCACAGGAGCUGCAUUUGUCAACUAC